GUCUAUGGCCAUACCACCCUGAACGCACCCAGUCUCGUCUGAUCUAGGAAGCUAAGCAGAGUCGGGCCCGGUUAGUACUUGGAUGGGAGAUUUCUAGCUCAGAGACAAAGAACUUUAGCAA
ensembl:rRNA 5S_rRNA 5S ribosomal RNA